rnacentral:rRNA from 1 species
GGACUACAAGGGUAUCUAAUCCUGUUUGCUCCCCUAGCUUUCGUGCCUCAGUGUCAGGAGUUGUCCAGGGACUCGCCUUCGCCACUGGUGUUCCGCUUGAUAUCUACGCAUUUCACUGCUACACCAAGCAUUCCAGUCCCCCCUCCAACCCUCGAGCAAGGUAGUUUCCAAUGCAGUUUCCGAGUUGAGCUCGGAGAUUUCACAUCCGACUUACCUCACCACCUACGCACCCUUUACGCCCAGUGAAUCCGAACAACGCUUGGGACCUCUGUAUUACCGCGGCUGCUGGCAC